AUUGAACGCUGGCGGCAUGCCUUACACAUGCAAGUCGAACGGCAGCACGGGUGCUUGCACCUGGUGGCGAGUGGCGAACGGGUGAGUAAUACAUCGGAACGUACCUUAUCGUGGGGGAUAACGCAGCGAAAGCUGUGCUAAUACCGCAUACGCCCUGAGGGGGAAAGCGGGGGAUCGAAAGACCUCGCGCGAUUAGAGCGGCCGAUGCCUGAUUAGCUUGUUGGUGGGGUAAAAGCCCACCAAGGCGACGAUCAGUAGCUGGUCUGAGAGGACGAUCAGCCACACUGGGACUGAGACACGGCCCAGACUCCUACGGGAGGCAGCAGUGGGGAAUUUUGGACAAUGGGGGCAACCCUGAUCCAGCAAUGCCGCGUGAGUGAAGAAGGCCUUCGGGUUGUAAAGCUCUUUUGGCAGGAAAGAAAUCGCAUGGAUUAAUACUCUGUGUGGAUGACGGUACCUGCAGAAUAAGCACCGGCUAACUACGUGCCAGCCGCCGCCGUAA
rnacentral:rRNA from 1 species